rnacentral:rRNA from 1 species
AGAGUUUGAUCCUGGCUCAGGACGAACGCUGGCGGCGUGCCUAAUACAUGCAAGUCGAACGAAGCUUUCUUUCACCGAAUGCUUGCAUUCACCGAAAGAAGCUUAGUGGCGAACGGGUGAGUAACACGUAGGCAACCUGCCCAAAAGAGGGGGAUAACACUUGGAAACAGGUGCUAAUACCGCAUAACCAUGAACACCGCAUGAUGUUCAUGUAAAAGACGGCUUUUGCUGUCACUUUUGGAUGGGCCUGCGGCGUAUUAACUUGUUGGUGGGGUAACGGCCUACCAAGGUGAUGAUACGUAGCCGAACUGAGAGGUUGAUCGGCCACAUUGGGACUGAGACACGGCCCAAACUCCUACGGGAGGCAGCAGUAGGGAAUCUUCCACAAUGGACGAAAGUCUGAUGGAGCAACGCCGCGUGAAUGAAGAAGGCCUUCGGGUCGUAAAAUUCUGUUGUCAGAGAAGAACGUGCGUGAGAGUAACUGUUCACGUAUUGACGGUAUCUGACCAGAAAGCCACGGCUAACUACGUGCCAGCAGCCGCGGUAAUACGUAGGUGGCGAGCGUUGUCCGGAUUUAUUGGGCGUAAAGGGAACGCAGGCGGUCUUUUAAGUCUGAUGUGAAAGCCUUCGGCUUAACCGAAGUAGUGCAUUGGAAACUGGAAGACUUGAGUGCAGAAGAGGAGAGUGGAACUCCAUGUGUAGCGGUGAAAUGCGUAGAUAUAUGGAAGAACACCAGUGGCGAAAGCGGCUCUCUGGUCUGUAACUGACGCUGAGGUUCGAAAGCGUGGGUAGCAAACAGGAUUAGAUACCCUGGUAGUCCACGCCGUAAACGAUGAGUGCUAAGUGUUGGAGGGUUUCCGCCCUUCAGUGCUGCAGCUAACGCAUUAAGCACUCCGCCUGGGGAGUACGGUCGCAAGACUGAAACUCAAAGGAAUUGACGG